rnacentral:rRNA from 1 species
GACGAACGCUGGCGGCGUGCCUAACACAUGCAAGUCGAGCGAGUGAAUCUCCUUCGGGAGUGAAGCUAGCGGCGGACGGGUGAGUAACACGUGGGCAACCUGCCUCAUAGAGGGGAAUAGCCUUUCGAAAGGAAGAUUAAUACCGCAUAAGAUUGUAGCUUCGCAUGAAGUAGCAAUUAAAGGAGCAAUCCGCUAUGAGAUGGGCCCGCGGCGCAUUAGCUAGUUGGUGAGGUAACGGCUCACCAAGGCGACGAUGCGUAGCCGACCUGAGAGGGUGAUCGGCCACAUUGGGACUGAGACACGGCCCAGACUCCUACGGGAGGCAGCAGUGGGGAAUAUUGCACAAUGGGGGAAACCCUGAUGCAGCAGCGCCGCGUGAGUGAUGACGGCCUUCGGGUUGUAAAGCUCUGUCUUCAGGGACGAUAAUGACGGUACCUGAGGAGGAAGCCACGGCUAACUACGUGCCAGCAGCCGCGGUAACAC